GGCCUGUGGCUCAGUUGGUAGAGCAUGGUGUUUGCAACGCCAGGGUUGUGGGUUCGAUUCCCACAGGCUG
rnacentral:tRNA from 1 species